rnacentral:rRNA from 1 species
UACGUAGGGUGCAAGCGUUGUUCGGAAUUACUGGGCGUAAAGGGCGCGUAGGCGGGCCUGUAUGUCGAUUGUGAAAGCCCUGGGCUUAACCUGGGAAUGGCAGUCGAAACUGCAGGUCUUGAGUGCCUGAGAGGAUGGCGGAAUUCCCGGUGUAGAAGUGAAAUUCGUAGAUAUCGGGAAGAACACCUGAGGCGAAGGCGGCUGUCUGGCGGUGCACUGACGCUGAGGCGCGAAAGCGUGGGGAGCAAACAGG